rnacentral:tRNA from 1 species
GCGUCCGUAGCUCAGCUGGACCAGAGCACCUGGCUUCGAACCAGGGGGUCGGGGGUUCGAAUCCCUCCGGGCGUA